AUGCAAGUCGAGGGGUAGAGAGGAGCUUGCUCUUCUUGAGACCGGCAAACGGGUGCGGAACACGUACACAACCUUCCUUUUAGUGGGGGAUAGCCCAGGGAAACUUGGAUUAAUACCCCGUAAGAUGUUAGUGAGGCAUCUCACAGAUAUUAUAGUGGCAACACGCUAGAAGACGGGUGUGCGUAUGAUUAGGUAGUUGGCGGGGUAACGGCCCACCAAGCCCAUGAUCAUUAACUGGUGUGAGAGCACGACCAGUCACACGGGCACUGAGACACGGGCCCGACUCCUACGGGAGGCAGCAGUAAGGAAUAUUGGUCAAUGGAGGCAACUCUGAACCAGCCAUGCCGCGUGGAGGAUGAAGGUCCUCUGGAUUGUAAACUUCUUUUAUAUGGGACGAAAAAGGGACUUUCUAGUUCAACUGACGGUACCAUAUGAAUAAGCACCGGCUAACUCCGUGCCAGCAGCCGCGGUAAUACGGAGGGUGCAAGCGUUAUCCGGAUUCACUGGGUUUAAAGGGAGCGCAGGUGGGUUGGUAAGUCAGAGGUGAAAUCUCCGAGCUUAACUCGGAAACUGCCUUUGAUACUAUCAGUCUUGAAUAUUGUGGAGGUUAGCGGAAUAUGUCAUGUAGCGGUGAAAUGCUUAGAUAUGACAUAGAACACCAAUUGCGAAGGCAGCUGGCUACACAUAUAUUGACACUGAG
rnacentral:rRNA from 1 species